GCCGGAUUCACCAGACGUGCCUAACACAUGCAAAUCGAAUGAAAAGAAUUAAUUAUUGUUUUCAUGGUGAACGGGUGAGUAACACAUAAGAAUCAGCUUUUAGAUAAGGCAUAAAAGAGUAAUAUCUUGGUAAUUCCUUAUAUGCGCAGCAGUGCUUAAAAAGGGGAGUCCCGUCUAAAAACGAGCUUAUGCCUGAUUAGCUAGUUGGCGAGUUAAAAGCUCACCAAGGCGAAGAUCAGUAGCUGGCCUGAGUGGGCGGCCAGCCACAUUGGGACUGAGACACGGCCCAAACUCCUACGGGAGGCAGCAGUGGGGAAUCUUCUGCAAUGGGCGCAAGCCUGACAGAGCGGCGUCGUGUGAAGGAAGAAGGCCUGAAAUAGGUUGUAAACUUCUUUUACUGAAUAAUGAAUAAUGACAACGCAGUAAAAAAGUAUCGGCUAACUCCGUGCCAGCAGCCGCGGUAAUACGGGGAUGCAAGCGUUAUCCGGAAUCACUGGGCGUAAAGCGUCUGUAGGUGGUUUAGUGUGUUCUUAGUUAAAUUCUGAAGCCUAACUUCAUGAAAAGUAAGAAAACUAUUAGACUUGAGUACGAUAGGGGUAAGAGGAAUUCUUCGAGAAGUAGUGAAAUGCGAAGAUACGAAGGAGAAGAUCAUAAGCGAAGGCUUCUUACUGGGUCGUAACUGACACUGAGAGACGAAAGCUAGGGGAGCGAAUGGGAUUAGAUACCCCAGUAGUCCUGACUGUAAACGAUGGAUAUUCGGUGCCGGAAAUUUUAUUAGAACAUUUCGGUACCCUAGCUAACGCGUAAUAUCCCGCUGAGAGUACGCUCGCAGGUGAACUCAAUGAUGACGAGACGAUCUGCAAUAUCAUCACACUGCG
rnacentral:rRNA from 1 species